CCUACGGGAGGCAGCAGUGGGGAAUAUUGCACAAUGGGGGAAACCCUGAUGCAGCGACGCCGCGUGAGUGAAGAAGUAUCUCGGUACGGAAAGCCCUAUCAGCAGGGAAGAAAAUGACGGUACCUGACUAAGAAGCCCCGGCUAACUACGUGCCAGCUGCCGCGGGAAUACGUAGGGGGCAAGCGUUAUACGGAUUUACUGGGCGUAAAGGGAGCGUAGACGGGAGAACAAGUCUGGAGUGAAAUCCCGGGGCUUAACCCCGGAACUGCUUUUGAAACUGUGCGGCUGGAGUGCAGGAGGGGUAAGCGGAAUGCCUGGUGUAGCGGUGAAAUGCGUAGAUAUUAGGAGGAACACCGGUGGCGAAGGCGGCUUACUGGACUGUAACUGACGUUGAUGCUCGAAAGCGUGGGGAGCAAACAGGAUUAGAUACCCGAGUAGUC
rnacentral:rRNA from 1 species